rnacentral:rRNA from 1 species
GUAGGGGGCUAGCGUUGUCCGGAUUUAUUGGGCGUAAAGAGCGUGUAGGCGGCCAGGUAGGUCUGGUGUGAAAACUCGAGGCUUAACCUCGAGAUGUCAUCGGAAACCAUCUGGCUAGAGUCCGGAAGAGGAAAGUGGAAUUCCUGGUGUAGCGGUGAAAUGCGCAGAUAUCAGGAAGAACACCAAUGGCGAAAGCAGCUUUCUGGGACGGUACUGACGCUGAGACGCGAAAGCGUGGGGAGCGAACAGGAUUAGAUACCCUGGUAGUCCACGCCGUAAACGAUGGGCGCUAGGUGUGGGCGGUGUCGACUCCGUCCGUGCCGAAGCUAACGCAUUAAGCGCCCCGCCUGGGGAGUACGGCCGCAAGGCUAAA